UACGGGAGGGGCAAGCGUUACCCACCAUGACUGGGCGUAAAGAGUCCGUAGACUGUAAAGUAAGUUACUUGUUAAACUUUAAAGCCUAACUUUAAAUUAGCUUGUAAUACUGCUUUACUUUGAGUUUUAUACAGAAGAGUAGAAUUUUAUAUGAAAGGGUAAAAUCUGAAAAUAAAUAAAGGAAUAUCAUUAGCGAAGGCGACUCUUUGGUAAAAACUGACGUUGAGGGACGAAAGUGUAGGGAGCAAACAGG
rnacentral:rRNA from 1 species